ensembl:lncRNA
CUCCUAUCCAUUCAGUAACAUCCUCAUGUGGAGACAUUCCUGUCUUCAGAGCACCUGCUUGGUACCCAGACACCGUGGGGCUGAGAAAGUGUCCUUGAAAGGGUCUUGCGUGAGGAGAGCCCACUGCUGCGGUGAUUGUGUCACUCUUGUUGAGAGCAAGCCUCAGCCUCAGCUUUUGGAAGGAACCAAGCCUCAGAUCAGCUCGGAACCCUAUGGUGACUUCAUAUUGAAGUGGGCUCAGUGGCUGGACUGUGACCCACACUGAUGAACGAAUCCUCCAGGAAUGAGACUCCUUUGGAGUUAUUGGCUGGUGAAAAUAAGCAAAGGACUGCAAAGAUCCACGGGUCAUGUGAGGCAGUCUGGUCUGCGGCAGCUGACAGCAGAGACUCCAGGAGGCCAAGGAAGGCACCCGCUCUCCUCCCACGGGUCUGGUGGGUCUAAUUUGCCUGAAUCCAGUGGAAGAUAAACAGGCAGUGGGUAUGGUGUGUGAAGCCAGAGGCCCACAUCCUGAGAACUGGGGCAUCACUGAUGCUCUCUGGGCCUCCCCUUCCUGUCUGGGGGCGACUUUAACACCCACCUCAGAGUGAUGUUUGGAGGAUUAAAGGAACAUGACUUAGCACAGUGCCUGGCACACAGUGGGUGCUCAGGGCAUGUUCAUUCCCCCUCUUCCCCUUCCCUCUCCCUUACUCUUCCUCUGUUUGCACUGCCUCCAGGAUGAGGCUGUCACCUCAGGGACUCUCCAGCACUUGAGGCCUCUCUCUCCCUCCCCACCUUCCUGAGCAGUCACAGAGUGCUGCAGAUGCUCCUGCCCUUGCACCUGGCUUCCCUGCUUCUUCCCCAAGCAUGCUGCUGUGCCAGGUCUCUUGUCUCUGGUCUGUAUUCCAG